rnacentral:rRNA from 1 species
AAACUCCGUGAUAGCUGGUUCUCCCCGAAAUGCAUUUAGGUGCAGCGUCGCGUGUUGCCCGGCGGAGGUAGAGCUACUGGGUGGCUGAUGGGCCCCACAGGGUUACUGACGUCAACCAAACUCCGAAUGCCGUGCGGGUUGUAGCGUGGCAGUGAGACUGCGGGGGAUAAGCUCCGUGGUCGAGAGGGAAACAGCCCAGAUCGCCGGCUAAGGCCCCUAAGCGUGUGCUAAGUGGGAAAGGAUGUGCGGUCGCGCAGACAACCAGGAGGUUGGCUUAGAAGCAGCCAUCCUUGAAAGAGUGCGUAAUAGCUCACUGGUCAAGUGAUCGUGCGCCGACAAUGUAGCGGGGCUCAAGCACACCGCCGAAGCCGCGGACCCAUGACAUGGUUCCCUUCACCGUCCGGCUUGCCCGGGUGGUGGCAGGGGUUGUGGGUGGUAGGGGAGCGUCCUGCACCGGGGGAAGCCUGUGGGUGACUGCUGGUGGACGGUGCGGGAGUGAGAAUGCAGGCAUGAGUAGCGAUACUAGGGUGAGAAGCCCUAGCGCCGAAUGACCAAGGGUUCCAGGGCCAGGCUAGUCCGCCCUGGGUGAGUCGGGACCUAAGGCGAGGCCGACAGGCGUAGUCGAUGGAUGACGGGUUGAUAUUCCCGUACCGGCGAAGCACCGCCCAUGCUGACGCGCGGGUGCUAACCCACGCCCAGCCGCCAUAUAGGCCGCAUGUGUCAGGUUCGCCUGACGGUGUGGUUGUGGUGGUGGGGUCUGGGGAUCCUCCGUGCAGGUAGGCAAGCGUGUUAACAGGGGUGACGCACAGUGGUAGCCCGGCGGACCUGAUGGCUUGGUCCGUUCAAGCGCGCAGCCCGUCCUCCAGGUAAAUCCGGAGUGACUGCCUCCUUGAGAGGUGAGGGUGAGGCGUGAUGGUGACCCCACGCUGGUGGGGGAUAACAGGGUGAUCCUGGGGUGCCGAGAAAAGCCUCGACGCGAUGGUGCCAGCCGCCCGUACCCUAAACCGACACAGGUGGUCGGGCAGAGUAUGCCUAGGCGCACGAGUGAAUCAUGGUUAAGGAACUCGGCAAAAUGCCCCCGUAACUUCGGGAGAAGGGGGGCCCGAACCCUGAGGCCCCGUGCGGGCUAGGGGGGUGGGUCGCAGAGACCAGGGGGAAGCGACUGUUUACUAAAAACACAGGUCCGUGCGAAGCCGUAAGGCGAUGUAUACGGACUGACGCCUGCCCGGUGCUGGAAGGUUAAGAGGAACCAUCAACCCUCGGGUGAAGUGGUGAAUUUAAGCCCCAGUAAACGGCGGUGGUAACUAUAACCAUCCUAAGGUAGCGAAAUUCCUUGUCGGGUAAGUUCCGACCUGCACGAAUGGCGUAACGACUUCCCCGCUGUCUCAACCAUGAGCUCGGCGAAAUUGCAGUACGAGUAAAGAUGCUCGUUUCGCGCAGAAGGACGGAAAGACCCCGGGACCUUUACUACAGCUUGGUAUUGGCGCCCGCUAUAGCUUGUGCAGGAUAGGUGGGAGACUGUGAAGCCGUUACGCCAGUAGCGGUGGAGUCGUCCUUGAAAUACCACUCUGGUUAUGGCGUGCGCCUGAACCUGGGCCCGUGAUCCGGGUUAGGGACAGUGCCUGGUGGGUAGUUUAACUGGGGCGGUUGCCUCCUAAAGUGUAACGGAGGCGCUCAAAGGUUCCCUCAGCCUGGUCGGCAACCAGGUGUUGAGUGCAAGUGCACAAGGGAGCUUGACUGUGAGACCGACGGGUCGAGCAGGUACGAAAGUAGGAACUAGUGAUCCGGCGAUCCCGUGUGGGUGGGUCGUCGCUCAACGGAUAAAAGGUACCCCGGGGAUAACAGGCUGAUCCUGCCCAAGAGUCCAUAUCGACGGCAUGGUUUGGCACCUCGAUGUCGGCUCGUCGCAUCCUGGGGCUGGAGCAGGUCCCAAGGGUUGGGCUGUUCGCCCAUUAAAGCGGUACGCGAGCUGGGUUUAGAACGUCGUGAGACAGUUCGGUCCCUAUCCUCUGCGCGCGCAGGAGACUUGAGAAGGCCUGUCCCUAGUACGAGAGGACCGGGACGGACGAACCUCUGGUGUGCCAGUUGUCCCGCCCGGGGCACGGCUGGUUGGCUACGUUCGGGAAGGGUAACCGCUGAAAGCAUCUAAGCGGGAAACCAUCUUCAAGAUAAGGUCU